GGAGAUCCUCAGCUGAGUAUAAUCGAUUCGGAUCGCCGUACCUUCGCGGUUAUGAAGACGUGGUAACUUGUCUACAACCUAAGUCAGGAUGUGAACAUUAUGGAUAAAAAUAAUGUUGUAUUGAUGAGAUGAUGAAAUUAGACUAAAGGCAAACAGAGUCUAUUAAUACUUAAUCUGGUGUUAAAAUGUUGAAAGUAAGGACUCACUUUAGUAAGCUAUUUCUGCAAAAGUAUCUAAGUUGAUUUUUGCUAAAGCCUCUCCUUGAUUCCUAUUUAUCCAUCAUACCCUUGAGAGUCUUUUCCUUAGUCGGGUAAGACUUGCUGAGUAAUUCCAUACUCAGGGUUUUAUUCCCUGUUGUUUUUCAGGGUUUUAACUUUGUGCUGUUGUUGAUGGUGUUAAGUGCCGGUGGGCUCGGCCUUCUUAUAAGUCUAAGUACUUCUUCUAUACUUCUUAUUGAGGAUGGUCACUUGAGCUAGAAUAUAUUUCAAACUUAUACUUUUGUAAUCACUCCGAUAAAAUAAUGUAAAAUUUUUGUAACCUGUAAAAUUUGGUAGUAAGAUUUCCGCUGCAACAAUAUUGGUGUGUGUGAUUUGUGUUACUUAAUCCCGCGGUUCUGGUUGUAAGUGGUUUAUCCGAUGUCCUUGGGGCAAUCGGACGGAUCCUGUUAAGUUAUUUAGUGCACAUGCAUAGCUGUCUGAGGUCUUUGAGACAAGGACAUGUGCAUGUGGGCCCAAUAACUUGGGAGGUUCUGCCACAGCUGGUAUCGGAGCAGGAUUAAGUAUAUACGGUCACAUACGUAUUUUCAAAACAAAAGUUUUGGUUUUAGAAAACCUAUUUUCAACUAAACACAUUGUUUGGCUUUGAAAAACAGUUUUGAAAAACUAUAAUGCUAGCGACAUCCUCUGUUAAGCCCUAAGUUAAGGACUAUUAGGUGGCUUAUUUGAAAACCAUAACCCACAACCGGGUGGGUAUUGCAUACAUGUGUAUUGUUAUUUUUAAGGCCAUUCAGUCUUGAAUGGAUCGACACUAAGGUAAGGUGAGAUGUGAGAGCAUGACCGAACAAUUGUCGGUCUAGGGAAGUGUUUAAUUGUUGCGCUUGAUUAUAUACAUGUUACACAUAUGUAUAUAUGAAGGCUGCGAUCUGGAGUAUUUGAUUUUCUAGGAAUUCAGUACCCCAUGGAUGUGUAUGGGUAUACAGACAUGGGAAUACUGAGAAGUGUAUUGUACUUGUAACGACGCACCUACGCUCAGGUAAGAAGGUGAGUUACCAUAAUGAGUUGCCCUAUGGUUAAAGUGUGGCAACGACGCCUAUGCGUGGCUCGGCGCUUAAUGAUGAGCUGGCCUCCAUAUAGCGAUAUAUGGAGUAUAACCUGUGAUAAACUGUCAUGCGUGAACUGCAUCAUGGGAAAAUGGGCUGUGAUGGAUUUUUCUGCAGGUACACUAACCUCGAAAACGUAUGUGUAGCUGACGACUAGCAAAAUACCGAGAGAGAACGUAUGCCACCGAUAUAGAACGUUAUUGCCACAUUAUGUUGGCAAAAUCAGUGAGGACGUAUAGGACGAGCAUGCAUCUUGAUUGUUGCAUCCUGUUUGUCACCUAUACACCCAAAAUGCUUCUCUCAUCUUUAUUCCAGAAACCAUUGAUUGUAAAUAAUAUGGUGUCUUAAAGCUAUAUGUUUAGAUAGCUUUCAGGCUAUUUUAAUUUGACCAUUAGUGCAAAUGGUAUUUGCUCUUGUGCUUGAUGUACUAAUAGAAAGUUAGUGACUUGUUUGCCUAAACCCAAAUCUAGGCCAUGCUCUUAGUUGGUGAACCAUGAUCAAGGUUGAUUUUUCCGUUACCCCUCCUUGACCCAAAUUUAUACAAAUAAAUGUUUAGAUAAUUUCUUCGUUGGACAAAAAGGGUACUUAAGCUUAAAAUAAGAAUCUCGACUCAUAUUUCUAUCGUAGACCAUGCCCUUGACAAUUGGUACAAGCUGAUGUACCUUAUCCAGUUUGCCUGCCCUUAAGGAUCGCCAUGUUGCUUUAUCAACCUAACCUAGGAAAGGCAUGUUUGAUUAUUUUCUUGAAUUUGGUGCCUUUGAUUUUCUCAUAUCUAUCGAAGGCAUACCAACUUAAUCCUUGACUUGUAAUUUUUGCGAUGGCAUAGAAAUAUGCUUGGGGCUGAAGUAACAGUCUCCCAUUGUACUUCUCUCAUCAAGUUUAGGUUAUGGCCAUGUUUUGUUCAUUUCAUUGGGUCAUAAUCUAUUUGGCUCUCUACUUGUAACCAUUCUUACAGGUAGAGUAUCUCCAUGUAUAUUGUCACCCUUGCCCAAUCCAUUGGUGUCGUGCGAGAUUUCUUAUUGGUUACGUCUGGUAAUGGCGUUAUGACUAAAACUGAUGAUGUCGUGACGAAACCGAGGGCCUUCUGUGUGUGCGCACACAUGGUUGUGCUGCUCGGCACGCGCUGGUAUCACAGUUAGUAGUUGUAAUCCACUAUGAGACUAUGUCAAUACGUUAUCUUGGCACAAUCUGUUUUUGCUACGUGAGAUUGUUAUUGGUGCCAGUUCGAUAGUGGUGUCAUGGUUAAUGACUUAUGGUGCCGCAGCGAAACUGAGAGCCUCCUGUGAAUGCGCACACAGGAUUGUGCUACUCCUCGAUGCUGGCAUCAAGGUCUCUGGUCAUGAUCCAUUGUGGAACUGCAUUGAUGUGUGAUCUUUCGUGGAGUCCUCCCUUGAAACAAUUUCUAUGUUGUUUGUCAAGUGAUCAAGCAACAUCUAUCAUCUCUGUUGGAUCAAAAGGGCAUACCACUUUCAUGUGUGAUAUCUUAUCUCUUGACUUUAAUGGUGACUUCACACAUACAAGUUCCCUUUACAUCCUUUGUGUAAAGGUGAAGCCUUGGAGCUUUUUAGUGUUGCAAGACAACCAAUUAGUUCCCAAAAUGGAGAUUUGUUUCCCCUGCUGCUGAAAUACAGGAGUUUGUUCAUUCGCUCUCUUAUUUAAUCCAUGUAUUCCCUAACCAAGUCGGUUCAUCUCGUAUAGAAGAAACGGAUGAACGACCAGACCAAAUGGAUUCCUGCCCAAAUGCAUGACCAACUGUUAAUAUGAGUAAACUCUGAACCCUUGGCUUACCGAUGGUACUGAGAGGACUUACUCAAUGUCAAAAGUAGUUCAACAAGUUGGUUUUGACUAACUUGUAACUGCAUUUGAAACAAAGGUUGAGUUUAGAGAUCGUUUUAUCAAUUUGCCUGAACUCACUUUGGUCUAACCGACUCUAAAGAAAGUACUCACAAAAGUUAAGUUAAGUCGACCAAUAACCACCUAAUCAUCGCUCUAGUCGUGCCUCGAUCACCUCACGUGUGCUUUUCGAGCAUGUGUGAUUAAGUCGAGCCAUGGUUAGUAUUUGAUGAAAUGGGUUGGUCGCGAAGUCAACAUCAAUGGAUCUCUUCAUUGAUAUUUUCUCGAAUCUUUAUCGUCUUUCAUGGACUUGAAUUCUCUGGUUAGCCAUAUGUUAACCAUGACAGUAUUCGACAUCCACAUCUGUCUUGUGUGCUACGAACUCACUGUGACCACUUGUUGGUAAACCUCUUUCUGUGUGUUUUACCCAAGAGGUUGCAUCUGGUUCUGUUUGGGUAAAGCCGUAUAUCUAUCGCUCGCUCAACAGACUCAGAUAGUACCGUGUCAUCAGAAAAAGCAAACUGCACACAUGGAACCUUAUGUGUUCUUCUGGCAGGCAUUGUCUCUAUUGUUGGACAUCUCUAAAUUAGCCUAAGGCGAUAUAUGUUAUGUCCACUAGAGAAACCACAUCCUGAGACACUCGUCUUUGUUUGGAACUACCUUAGGGUUAUCGCUGAUAUGGACAUGUUACAUACUUCUCUACCCUUAGAAGUCUUUCGCUCUGAAUCUCGGGACGAGAUUCUUUUAAGGGGGGAGGGCUGUAACACCCCUAGUGUCUAUAUUCCGCUCGACAACGAGUAUGGAUUUAAGCACGUAAUAUUAGUGGAUAAAACGGAUGCUAAAUUCUUAAACAUCUUCGUCUAUCACGAUUUUUAUAUCGCAUCUGUUCCAUCUGUCGCGAGUGCGACGACGUUUUUAUUUUUAUCUAUUCGGGCUCCUCCUAAAUUUUGGUGACGUUCGGAACAUCGUUGUUUCGAAGGUCAGUGCGUCCGGUGAUUAUUUAAAAUUCAUCGCUCGCGCGAAUACGAAUUCGGAAGUCCGACUCACUCGGAUGAUUUUUAUCCCGAGCAAAUUAGUUGAAACUUGACGACUAAAAUGUUCGGAGCAAAAUAGUCUGAAUCGCGUGUUGUCCGAGAAAAAUCAUGCGUGAUGUUAUAAUCCAAUUUAUUCUUCAGCACGCUGUUUCGAAGACAAAAUCGCGUAUACGUUCGCAGAUAUUGUUUCGGCUAAUUUCGGUCGAAUCACGCCGAACAAAUUAUCAGUGCCGAAAUCAGUUUAUUUCGGUCUGUCGUUUCUCGCCUAGAUCCCAAAACUUCGGAUAUAAAUAAUGGGUGAAAAUUUAUCUGACUGCGAAGUAUUCACUAAGUUAAAUCCGGUUUAAAUAUUGUUGUCGAUCUUAUUUGGUUCGACCCUUUUAUAUAUCUUGUAGACCCUCGUUUCAUACCCCAAAAUAUCUGCAUUUCACUUUUGUAAAAAUAAGUAAAAUUAGGAAAUAUCUUUCUAGAUUUUCCGGAGCUAUUUUCAUCUCCUUCCCUCUUCCGUGGAGCACUAGCAUAUCCUCUUGAGCCUAGGAUUUUUUUUCACGAAACGACUCACGAGUUCAGCUCAAGAAAUAUCACCACACAGCUAUCUCCCUUAUCUUCUUCCCUCGCGUAAGUUCUGCUCAUUUUAUUCCAACCGUUGUUCUCAUCCGUUUGGGCAGCAAGGAAAAAUCUGGCCGCCGUCUUCAUCUCCUCCCGUCGCUAUCCUCUCUGCCGUCGUCCUCAGCCAUCGCAAGAUUUUUCCGGCCGCCAAAGCUCCCACCGUCGUUCUCUCUUGAUAUUUCCUGGUUGUCGGUGUUUAUCCCCUCUCGCGCUCGGCUCCCAGGAGCAGAUUUUCUGGCCGCCCAGCUGUUUCUUCCUCCCUGCGCUCGGAUUUCCUCUACCCCAACCGGGUCUCCCUGCGCGUCGCGGAGCUCUAGCUCGGUGUUUCCCCAGCUCGCCCUGGUCGUCUCCAGCUCGCCGAGCUCUGCCCGCUCCCCAUGGCCGAGCUCCAUCCCUGCCCCUCUUCAACUCAGCUCGCCUCUCUUUCUCUCUGUACACACGCAGUCUCUUUCUUUCCCAAACUGUGACUCCGCUGUGGAGCUCCCCGCGGCUCAACUCGAAGUUCCUCCCCGCUCGGCGCCCAACCCCUGCGUCGCGUCCAUCCUCUGCUCUUCCUGUUCGCCGGCAGAAGCUCCCAGCCGAGCGUUCCUUCUCUUCGCCGCGCGCCCAGCCGUCGAAGCUCCCUGCCAUCGUCGUUUUCGGCCCUGCCGUUGGUACAACAUCAUUUGCUGUUGCUAGUUGAUGCAACGUUGCCGUCCUUCGACGCCGCGCCGUGAGCAGCGACUUCGUCGAUCCGUCAUUUUGACAAGGUACUUGCGCUACUCUCCUGUGUAUGUGAUGAUUGGAAAAGGAGUCCCAGCUGAUGAAGGAUUAAGCUGAUGAAGGAUUAAGGAACGAAAGCUCUAGUACACCGCCUGCCAGCUGAUCAUCGUACAUCCUGAACCAGGGUUUAAUCAUUUUCUUUGUGAAGUUCGAGCCGAUUAUAAUUUUGGAAGGAGAUUUGGUGCUGAAGUCAAAGCUAGCAGCCCCUUUAUUCUUCGUCGUCAACCCACGCCGCGUCGCGACGUGCCCGUCGAUCCCGACGAUCUAUCUGCCAGAUGCGUGCCACUUGUGUUGAGCUCCAAAGCCCCUGUCGAGCUCUUCCCCUGAAAGCCGCCUUCGAGCACAACCCCUGUCAUGUGUUCGAUGGGAAGUCUGAACCAAUGCUCAUCGUCGAUCUACGAUUAUCAAAUCAUUCUGGUCAUGGUAAGUCGAUGAGUUAUUCAGAAUAGUUCAAUUGUUGAAUAAAUUAAUGUGCUAGUGUGAUGCUCACUAGUUGCUCGAUAAAUUACGCGAGUCACGGAACUCUCGUCGACUUCGCGGUUCUUGCGAUUAUCGAGCCAGGUUCUAUUAUAGCGAGUUAUUUCGCUAUUCCGGUCAAUUAGCUGAAUUAGUGUACCGAGUAGAAUAUUAGUAGGCCAAUAUUUUAAUCCCUUGUAAAGAUGUAGUAUAAUUUAUAAAGCAAGAGAUAAGGUUAGCAUUUAAUUAAUUAGCUGGUGAGUUGUGUAGGUUAAUUGUAUUUCAUGUGUAUAGUUUAUUGUUCGUGAUGUUUGUGUUAGAUUCGAGAAGCGUAAUUAUUGCGCUUAAUUGUACGUCGAUAAUUAGUGUCUCCGUAUGAAAUUGUUCAACGUCUCACCACUAGGUGUUUAAUAUGCUAUCGAAUAGCACCAUUUAGAUUUGUGCUAUUCUUGUUUAUAUGCAUUCAUGUGCAUCGUGCAUCUCAAUUAGGUACGAUAAUUGAUCGCGUGAUGCGGAAGACAAGCCAAGUCGACCCCAAGCGCGGACUAAUCCGCAGGAUGAUGCUGAUGGACGAACCGGAAGAUGGAUAAUCUGAACGAGUGCCAAGCCAAAGGAUGCUCGCCAAGUGGUCGCCUAACAAACACUAACCUAGUGUUACUCAGGCAACCCCGGUGCAUGCAACCCCUUCCUUGUGUUUUUAAAUACUUUUCGCACACUUUAAGUCUAGUGAAAUGUGCAUUAGGUUUAUAGGAGUUGCUUGAAACCCUUUGAUGCAUUGCCUUCCUUGAUAUCCAUACCUGUUAUAGAUACUUCUUUGGAAGUAUCAAAAUUUGAUUUACAAAAAUGCUUAGCCCUGCUUAGAUCUUGUGGAUAGAGGUUGUCUUUUGCGUUAAGGCCUUGCUCAGGGGUUAUCCUGAGGAAAGAUGACUUCUACCUGCAAGGUUAUAUUUUCAUUAGGAGCAUGGUGGGAUCUUACUACAAAGUUCCCUAUGAUGCUGUUUUCAUCCUAAGGAAAACAAACAAUCCUAAGGGUGUAAAUACUUAAAUCGGGACUUGGGUUAGGAACGGGUGAUGUUCUACCCAGGUUGAUUAAGGAUUGAACGUGUAUGUAGGUGUGCUGACCGCGGACCCUUUAACUGGUCACAUGCCUCGUCAUGGGUAAGCCUUGCCUCGGGCAGACUAAGGCCAGAAUAAGAUAACAAGAAAUGGGCGUGGAGCGGUGGCGAGAGUAGCGUGUACCCUCCGUGGCAAGAGGCUGGACGGUGGUGUAUCUAUGCUCUCGGUUUGCGUGAACCUGAUCUGGUCUUAAGAACCCCGGUGGCGGGUUGACAUAUGCAAGGGUUAAGUGCUACAUAUGUCGUGUGAUUGGAGAUCCUCAGCUGAGUAUAAUCGAUUCGGAUCGCCGUACCUUCGCGGUUAUGAAGACGUGGUCACUUGUCUACAACCUAAGUCAGGAUGUGAACAUUAUGGAUAAAAAUAAUGUUGUAUUGAUGAGAUGAUGAAAUUAGACUAAAGGCAAACAGAGUCUAUUAAUACUUAAUCUGGCGUUAAAAUGUUGAAAGUAAGGACUCACUUUAGUAAGCUAUUUCUGCAAAAGUAUCUAAGUUGAUUUUUGCUAAAGCCUCUCCUUGAUUCCUAUUUAUCCAGCAUACCCUUGAG
rnacentral:lncRNA from 1 species